AGGGAAGCGUGCGCGAGGACUUUUCUCGCCUGCAAAUAACCGUUCUCCUGCAUGCAAAUAACCGUUGGUCUAGCUCUUGGCCCGUGACAGUGCGUGUGUGAUGCCCCCUUAAUUUGGCAUCCUAUUCAUUCUCCCUCCCCCAUAUCAACACAUAUCGACCAAGAGACGCGGUGGAGGAAACUAAUAACGGGGUGGUGGUGCUGGUUGAUGGUGAUGGUGCUGGUUGAGGAUUGGGGGGGGGUGAAGCGCAGCCUCAGCAAGCCCCCUUUUUUUUAUGACCCGCCGGCAAGGUAAUCAGAUCAAUUUCACGGCUUGUAUGGGAUUCUGCCUACACCACCAACCUGAGCGAGAAUCCGGUGUUCAGCAUCAUCAGCAGCCGGUGACGACGUCCAACAAGAAGAUGAAGAUGAACCGGCCUUUCUGAUCAAAGCGCCCCCGUCUAUAAAGCUCAAGGCUGGCCUUCCUUAGGCGGUUGAGGGUGUGAGAAGCUGGUGGGUCUGGAGCACAAGGUCUUCUUCUGUAUGGACAGUGAUCUCUGGCUGAAUCCCAGGUGACCACACAUGAGAGAGCCGUGUCUGAUGGGACCGUCAUGGAACAGGGAUUUGCAUGAUAAAGCUCCCACGCUGCAAAGCAUGAUGGGGAUAAUCUGCACCUGUGAGCUGGAGAUGAGGGAUGGAAUUGACGUUACACCAGACAGGAGCCGUGCUGACUGCCUCCACAUCCAGGACUCGAACCAGGAAACACUUCAGUUCACAGAGAGAAGACAUUAAGAUUUCUAGAAG